rnacentral:tRNA from 1 species
ACUCCCGUGGUGUAGCGGUCAAUCAUACCAGCCUUUGGAGCUGGUUACGGCGGUUCGAAUCCGCCCGGGAGUA